rnacentral:rRNA from 1 species
GAUGAACGCUGGCGGCAGGCCUAAUACAUGCAAGUCGGACGGGAUUGGAGAGCUUGCUUUCCAUGAGAGUGGCGCACGGGUGCGUAACACGUAUGUAACCUACCUUGUUCAGGGGAUAGCCUCUCGAAAGAGAGAUUAAGACCGCAUAACAUUGCGAUGUGGCAUCACAUCGUAAUCAAAUAUUUAUAGGAACAAGAUGGGCAUGCGGAACAUUAGCUAGUUGGUAAGGUAACGGCUUACCAAGGCUACGAUGUUUAGGGGAUCUGAGAGGAUGACCCCCCACGCGGGUACUGAGACACGGACCAGACUCCUACGGGGGGCAGCAGUAAGGAAUAUUGGUCAAUGGGCGGAAGCCUGAACCAGCCAUGCCGCGUGCAGGAAGACGGCCCUAUGGGUUGUAAACUGCUUUUGCAGGGGAAUAAACCUUGCUACGUGUACCAAGCUGAAUGUACUCUGAGAAUAAGGAUCGGCUAACUCCGUGCCAGCCGCCGCCGUAA